AACCCAUGAAAUGGGCAAAGUAUCUACAAAUCCUUAUAACGCUCCCAUGCGUCAAAAGGGGAUUUUCCAUCUUCCUGCCUAAAAAUGUUUAUUUUUCCCCCUUACCUU